CUAUUAACAUUCAAGGACGUGGCCAUAGAAUUCUCUGCAGAAGAGUGGAAAUACCUGGACCGUGCCCAGAAGAAUUGAUAUAGAGAUGUGACGUUGCAGAACUACAGAAACCUGGGUGUUACUGUCUGUAACCCAGACCUGGUCACCUGUCUGGAGCAAAGAAAAGAGCCCUACAAUGUGAAGAUAUAUGAGACAGUAGCCAAACCCCCAG
rnacentral:lncRNA from 1 species